CUACGGGUGGCUCCAGUAAGGAAUAUUGGGCAAUGGACGCAAGUCUGACCCAGCCAUGCCGCGUGAAGGAUGAAUGUCCUAUGGAUUGUAAACUUCUUUUGUGCAGGAAAAACCCCUCGGUUUCGUACCGGGGCUGAUUGUACUGUACGAAUAAGCAUCGGCUAACUCCGUGCCAGCAGCCGCGGUAAUACGGAGGAUGCAAGCGUUAUCCGGAUUCAUUGGGUUUAAAGGGUGCGCAGGCGGAAUGAUAAGUCAGUGGUGAAAUCUCCCGGCUCAACCGGGAAACUGCCAUUGAUACUGUCAUUCUUGAGUACAGUUGAAGUGGGCGGAAUGUGUCAUGUAGCGGUGAAAUGCUUAGAUAUGACACAGAACACCGAUAGCGAAGGCAGCUCACUAAGCUGUAACUGACGCUCAUGCACGAAAGCGUGGGGAUCAAACAGGAUUAGAUACCCGCGUAGUC
rnacentral:rRNA from 1 species